GGAGCGGCCAAGGUGUCCUGGAGAGCCUGGUGCUGCGGGCUGAAACCCCGGAGAAAUUAAUGGGACUGCUCAGAAUCGCAUGCCCUCUCCUUGGGGCGAAGGGAAGAAUGAAUGUGUGAAAGAGAAGGCAGGGUGAAGAAGAGGUGUUGUGAGCGCUGAACCUAACCCGCCCUUUCUCUAAGGCUGCAGGAAUUUCAAAGGCGAGGAAAUCACGGGCAUUUCUGGAUCCUCUAAUGAAAACGCCAGUCAUCCAGCGGAAGAUACCCAAGAAACCUGGCGGUAUCCCUGUUGAGAUAUACUAUAUAACUGGAGUGCUCGCCACAGUAUGACAGGUUUUCCUAGUACAGCUUAUGGAAAAAGAUACUGCAGGUCAGAGCAUCGUGUCAAAACACCAUCUCUUUGACCCUGUCUGUCAUAGUUACAAUAACAUAUUUACACUAGAAAUAGGAACAGCAGAACCUUCAGCAUCUAACAUCUUUGCAUCCACAGGCUUACAAAACAGUCAGAAGGGGCGUGAGCAGGACUUCUUGCCCUUAAUUACAUGCAUUCACUAUCUCGUCCCACUACAAACCCUACUUCCACCUAUGCAUUACUUUCAUCUUAAUUUAUGUCCUGGUUUCGGCUGGGAUAGAGUUAAUUUUCUUCCUAGUAGCUGGUACACUGCUGUGUUUUGGGUUCAGUAUGAGAAGAAUGUUGAUAACACACUGAUGUUUUCAGUUGUUGCUAAGUAAUGUUUAGACCAAGUCAAGGAUUUUUCAGCUUCUCAUGCCCAGCCAGCAAGAAGGCUGGAGGGGCACAAGGAGUUGGGAGGGGACACAGCCAGGGCAGUGACCCAAAGUGGCCAAAGGGGUAUUCCAUACCGUGUGAUGUCAUGCCCAGUAUAUAAACUGGGGGGAGCUGGCCUGGGGGGUCGCUGCUGGGGAACUGACUGGGCAUCAAUCAGCGAGUGGUGAGCAAUUGCAUUGUGCAUCACUUGUUUUGUAUAUUCCAAUCCUUUUAUUAUUAUUGUCAUUUUAUUAUUAUCAUUAUUAGUUUCUUCCUUUCUCUUCUAUUAAACUGUUCUUAUCUCAA